UGCCCAUCGAUGUCCCCAGGUGUCCCCAAGCCCCAGGUGUCCCCCAGUGUCCCCAGGUGCCAUCGAUGUCCCCACGUGUCCCCAAGCCCCAGGAGUCCCCCAGUGUCCUCAAGUGUCCCCAGGUGUCCCAGUGCCAUCGAUGUCCCCAAGUGUCCCCGAGCCCCAGAUGUCCUCCAGUGACCCCAUAUGUCCCAGUGCCAUCAAUGUCCCCAAGUGUCCCUUCAUGUCCCCAAGCCCCUCACUGUCCCCAAGUGUCCUGGCGCUGUUGGUGUCCCCAAGCCCCAGGUGUCCCCAAGUGUCUUUCAGUGUCCCCAAGUCCCAAGUGUCCAUCAAUGUCCCCAAGUGUCCUGAUGUCCCCAGGUGUCCCCAAGUGCCAGGUGCCACUGGUGUCCCAAGGUGUCCCCAAGUGUCCCGGUGCCAUCAAUGUCCCCAGGUGUCCCCAGGUGUCCCAGUGCCAUCAAUGUCCCCACGUGUCCCCAAGCGCCAGGUGUCCCCCAGUGUCCCCAGGUGUCCUGGUGCCAUUGGUGUCCUCAGGUGUCCCCAGGCCUCAGGUGUCCCCACGUGUCCUUCAGUGUCCCCAAGUCCCAGGUGUCCAUCGAUGUCCCCAGUGUCCCCAGGUGUCACAGUGCCAUCAAUGUCCCCAAGUGUCCCCAAGCCCCAGGUGUCCCCAAGCCCCAAGUGUCCUCCUGUUGUCCCCGAGUGUCCCUGUCCCCCAGUGUCCCCAUGUGUCCCAGUGCCAUCGAUGUCCCCAAGUGUCCCCCAGUGUCCCCAAGCCCCAGGUGUCCCCAAGUGUCCUGGUGCCAUUGGUGUCCCCAAGCCCCAGGUGUCCCGUUGCCAUCAAUGUCCCCAGGUGUCCCCAAGCCCCAGGUGUCCCCAGGUGUCCCGUUGCCAUCAAUGUCCCCACGUGUCCCCAAGCCCCAGGUGUCCCCACGUGUCCUUCAAUGUCCCCAAGUCCCAGGUGUCCAUCAGUGUCCCCAGGUGUCCCCAAGCCCCCGGUGUCCCCAGGUGUCCCGGUGCCAUCAGUGUCCCCAGGCCCCAAGUGUCCUCCUGGUGUCCCCAAGUGUCCCUGUCCCCCAGUGUCCCCACGUGUCCCAGUGCCAUCGAUGUCCCCAAAUGUCCCCAAGCCCCAGGUGUCCCCACAUGUCCCAGUGCCCUUGGUGUCCCCA
rnacentral:lncRNA from 1 species